AGAAUAAAAAUCGAGGCAUCGCUCUUUUUUUUAAGGGUGAUCGCGUCGGAAUUGAGCCGUCUUUCAAAUGUUAAUUCAUGUCAAAGUGGCUUAAAAUUCAUCCAUCCGGUACGAUUAAAGCGUAUUUAAGAUCAAUUUUGAUUAAGAACGCGCGAUGACGUACCAUCUCAUGUAGUACGUUUGACUUGGCGUCGUCAGGAUCAUUCGUAUACGAUACUCAAAC
rnacentral:misc_RNA from 1 species